ensembl:lncRNA
AAAGGCGUUCGCGCCUCGUCAUUAGCUCCUCUUACCCCGGUCAUCCGAGUGGACUCACAGCGGAGACAAUGCAGGUAACGAUACACGUUAAGCUGAAGUAUUGAGCCAAACCAAAGGGACACCAGUGUGCGCGGCGCGUCUGCAUGCGGUCAAGACAUGACUUUUGAUUCUUUAUUUAGUCGUUAACCGUGUCGUGCAUGUACUUGCGAGCAAUAUCCGCUAACUGCUAAAGUAGCUAACGCAACCGCGGACUCGUUGUAUCGCAGGUAUGUAGUCAUUGGGUUCGAUGCAUCCUCGUAAGGCUGGAGCCUAUAAAGGACGCAUUUACCAAGUAACGUUACAGCGUUAACGUGGGACCGUUCUGGCCGAGCACGCUCGUGCUCCACCGACUAAUGCCGGACAUCUGUUCUUAAAUGGUCUGAUUAGACAGAAUAUUAACUUUACUGUGGCCCUAAUAAGCACAGUGGCUUUGUGCGGAUUUGAGAAGUCUUCCUGGCACUUGGCUGUUUUUUGGCGCGCACCACGUGUCGUAUCGGGCCUCGCACGCCGCGGUGCAGACUCGUCUGCGGGGUUGUCCUGUGCAGUGGGCUGAUCCCCGACCAGCUGUGGCUAUAGAACGACAGGUUUUGCUUUCACCUCUGCACUGCUCGUUGCUGAACUGUGACAAUGAGGCCUGGCACAUGUCCCACUGUAUACGACUGAUCUAAACGCGUGUCUCUGCAGGAUGUCCGCAUACAGCUGCCGGCUGUGCUGCGACCCGAGGUGAGCAUCACGUGCUUUCUUAUAGGGGGGAUUUUUCACAUUUAGAAUUAGCUACGUUAUGUUGUAGAUUGUUUUACGCUUUAAUUCAAUAAAGCUCUUCCUCAACGGGAGCAGCAGCUUGUAACCAGAACUGCGUCGUGCGCCCGGUGAGAGCUCUGGUUCUGUCUGGUGGGCCGUGGAGCUCACACAGUGCGCAGAGAGAUUCGUUCCCUUGCAACCCACUGCUGUGCCCUCUGCAGCAGUGUUACUUAUGGGAAUGGACAGCUGUUCGCUUACAAAUAGUUAUGUUCCCGAGUGCCGGUGAAUACACUGAUUUAUGAACGUGCAGUCAAGACUUUUCUGAGAUCCUCUAAUGGCAGAAGGCUUCUUCUACCAGGUGAUCUCUUCUAGGCUGCGGAUGAUAAACUCAUCAAUAAGAUGCUAAAAUGUAGCAGUUGGGCUAACUCAACUUUUGUGUGUUUGUUCACUGAGAGAAUAAAGUUUUAUCACAAAUCAUGUCAACAAUAUGAUUUUCAAAUUUGCAUUAAAUGUUAAAGCAUCUCUGCUUAUGGCAAACUUAUUUUAAUUUAGGCGAAUUAUGCAAAUAUUUAGUUUGUUUCCAGCUUUGAAUAGUUCCAGAAUUUCGCAAUGCUACCUGACUGUAAAUGAGGAACCAGGAUUGUUUAAAAGGCCGUCCAUUGUCUCUAAUGGACUCAAUGUUCUGCUGAACCACUCAAGUUUUCCAGAGCAGAUUGUUUUGAAUGACACCUUCUGGAUGGGGUUCAGAUGUUCAAUUAUGACUUUUCGGAUUAAUUUAUUCCAUGUGGCUUUUAGCCUGUCAGUGUUUUGGGUUUCAAAUGAGUUUCUUCACUGGGGAUUGAAGUUUGUCUGUUCUUCUCUCUCAGGGAUUGUGGACCUGAGGCCGGCUCGGUUUCCUCCCCGCACUGGUCUUCUGACUGAUUGCUGUCAUGUUCCUGCUGCAUGAAGGCUUGCAUCCAUGUACCGUACCAGGUAUUCAGGCACUCAGGAGUCAGCUGAGGUGGUUUGGGCAGCUAACAAAGAUUCCUGAUGGGCGCGGCUCUCCAGGCAGGACAUGCUGAAGGGUUCACAUCUCCCACUGUGAUGGCAGACUGAGUCUCACAAGCUUGUGUGGUCUCUGCUGCUCCCUGCAGGUCUCCAGUAGGCGCUGACUAGAGAAUUGUGGAAGCUUCCUGGAGUCGUGGCGUGAACAGUACCAGCAGCCUCUUGCAGUUGAUGGUGACGUGACAUCGAAGCUGCCACCACUUUGUUGCGUAGAGGUCAUUUGAAGUCAGUCUAUUAAUAAAUGCAAAUUAAAGACUCAGAACUCUUGUCUCUGUUCUAUAUGAAAUGUGUUAUUUCCCACGUAUUAAAUCACUCGAGAGCUUUCGGCACUGUCGUUAAGUGUUUUUCUUUCUUUUCUUAAGCAUCUGAAAAGUGGUGCCUUAAAGCCAACCAACGUUUCAAACGUGUUGGGUAAAGGUCAUGAGCAGCUGCUGUAGUGGCGCAGUGCCUCCUUUAGUGGGCAGUGUACCGAUUCUUGCAGGAGGACCACAGCAUGUCUGCAAUAAAGAGGACACAUCGAUGUAGCCUUUGCAGGCCAAUAAAGUUUUUAAAGGUUAUUUUUCAAACUAAAACAUUAAGUUGACUCCGGUUUCUAGUUGGUAUCUGAUGGGAUUGUAAAUACAACUGUUAAUUUAGUUUAAAAAGAAUGCCACCUCAAGGCCAGAGCUGCAGUCAUCAGUCUAAUGGAUCAACAAAAUAUCCCAACCCACUUGUUUUUGUCCUCACAGGAUGUGCUCUGCUUCAGGGAAUGUGAUUACCUGUAGUAUUACGGUGGGAGGUGCAGCUUUCUAAGCAUUGGCAUUGAGAGUUCAGUCUACAUUCAGAACGUGGUCGACUCGUGCCUGCUCACCCGGCAUCGCCUUGUUGGAACCAAAAGAUUUAUUUCACAAUAAAUCCAAAAAACGAUCCUGUUCAAACGCACAAGUAUGCCACCACGGAACUACCAGCACAUGGUGGUCCACCACCUAAACACCUCAAGGUCCGCGCCUUCAAUUUCAAGCUCUUCCUGGCUUCCCCCAGUCUUUAAUCCACCGUGGCUCCAAUCUCAUUGCUUCCAGGCUGGUUUCACCUGGUACUUCCAGUCAGGAUACAGGGGAGCAAUUAGGGGUUAGGUGUUUUGCUCAAGGACACUUGGGACAUGGAGCAGCUGGGACUCAAACCGCCAACCUUGUGGUUCCCAGCUCCCCCUCUACCCCAUGCGGCAGUCAAUUGGUAUCUGAAAGUAUCACUAGAUAUCAUUAACUUUUGACGAAUAAUGCAAUUAAUACUAAAAUGGUUAUUGGUACUUCUCUUAAAUUCUAAAGGUAAUUUAAUGUUAACAGCCAGUUGGAGCUGGAAAGGAAUCUCUUUGACGACUCCAGACAGCUGUCUUCUGCCAAAUUGGACUUCUGCACCUACCAGACACGGCUUAGAAGUUGCAAGGACUCCUCAAAGGAAGCCGCACCUAACCUGGACCACGUGUUGAACGAUCGACAAGCAUAAAGCUAUGCUAAUAUUUGCUAGAGCUAGAGGGACAAGCGAGUGUGAUUAAGGCUGGCUAACAUUAGCUUAGCGUUAGGUUUAUUUGAGCCUGGCAUACUAUGAACACCUUCAUUUGCGUUACGGUCAAAGCGGUUUCAUGCUACCCAAAGCUACCAAUGCUCCUUUCUGUUUAUACCCUGUUCCCCAGAUUAGUUUGUCUAUGUAGUUUAUAUGAAGAAACUCCAGACGAACAAAGGACAUCUUGGGUUGAAAAGUAAUAAACUAAUAAAGAAAAAGCGUGAACAUCCCAGCUGUGGAUCUGCCCAGACCAAAGUACUCAACUGUCUAUGUCUAAGCGACCAUCUCCAUGUAUAUAUAUAUAUAUAUAUAUAUAUACAUACACACAUACAGGUAUGUACACAGAUCAAAAAAAGGUAUGGUAGGCAUUGUCCACGCCCCUCGACACGUGACGUCUCCUGGUGCGUUCCAUGUACCAUGUUAUUUUGAGUCGAUUACUAAAUAUGGUGGUGCAACGUGGUAGUACACUGGAUGGUGCGUUCACUGUAACUUCGGAUUUUAAAGUGUCCGCUAAUGGACGUGGCAGUGCCAUCAAAUAUUACACAUAAUGCAUUUAUUAAUAAUAAGAUUUGUGAGCCAGGUUGUCAGUUCAUUUACAAUAUUCUA